UGCCAGCCGCCGCGGUAAUACGGAGGGAUCAAGCGUUGUCCGGAUUUAUUGGGCGUAAAGGGUCCGCAGGCUGUUUGUUAAGUCAGGGGUGAAAUCCUACCGCUCAACGGUAGAACUGCCUUUGAUACUGGCAAACUUGAGUUAUUGUGAAGUAGUUAGAAUGUGUAGUGUGGCGGUGAAAUGCAUAGAUAUUACACAGAAUACCAAUUGCGAAGGCAGAUUACUAACAAUUAACUGACGCUGAGGGACGAAAGCGUGGGUAGCGAACAGGAUUAGAUA
rnacentral:rRNA from 1 species